AUCCAUGUAGGAAGGAACUCCGGUCCACAGGCUGUUGUCACGCGGAUAGCCCGACUCCGGCUGCCGGGUCGCCUGCUGGUCUUUCUGACUCUCGUCGAAUCUCCAGAACUCGCCUUGGCUGAACAAAGAGCGGGCGAGGAUAGCCGCUCAUGGCCACCGUGUCUUUGAAGACCCAGUACUGAGAUCCUGUUUGAGAGUGGAGCGACCCGAUUCAAAAUGGCAGCUAUUUAUAUUUGCUGGCCUUAGACUCCACUUAAUCUUAACCUUCUCACCGAUAAAGAAGAUGAUACUAUUGUCGCUCUUUCUCUCGUACACGGCGUCAAUCUUAUUUGUCCCCGGUGGAAGUCCGAUCCAAAAAUUUUUGAUCUGAGCCGGAUUAAGGGACACCAGUGAGCCGUCUCGCGUGGUCCUCCAGAAAUUAGCACCUAUUGUCAGACGUGAGCGUCACAUGCGGGCAUUUUUUGGAAUUUGGUUUAUCUUUACCUUUAAAGAAGAAGACCUCCCCUCUGAUGUUGGCCACUGCGUCAAAUCCCCCGUGACAACGGUUGUGGACGGUAGGGUCAGACCUGAGACAGCAGAGAAGUUGCAUUGGGAGUAGUUUGCAAGACGUCCACAAGAGGGCGCAAUCAGAAACAAAUACCAGUAGCUGUAAUUUAACUCACGGCCUUGUCGGUCUAGUCGGAGGUGGGUUGGGCAAACGUGGGAGGUUGGGGUCGACGCCUCCUGGUCGUUCCCCCUCCUUGCUGCCUGUAGAAGAGCAAAGGUUGGUCAACGUGUUGGAACACAGGAUACAAACACCUUGUCAUUUCAAAAGUAACGCGUCGGCGGUUUUUAUAAUAGAAACGAAAACCAAUUUAUUACAAUCUGGUUGGUGAGGAGACCUACUUGGCAGUGAGUCAUUAUGAUGAGAAUCAGAUAUAACACAUGAUCAAGAUGACACUUGUGGUCACAAAACAACAAGUCAGCACUAUUCUAUAUUUUGCGAAACAAUUCACAGACACAAAGAGGAACUUAUGUAUGUACGCUAAAUGCUGAAACGGUAAAAAUGAGCACCUGCAACACCUGAGGCAGAACCCGGGCAUGUCUAGACCGGGCCCCCUCAUCAUCUGAUGAGUCACUGGAAUUAACUAGAGACCACCAUUUGCGAAUCAAAGAAGAGUCACAAGAGAGAUUUUUUUUUUUCAGUCUGACUAACCAUAAAGCUGCUGAAUGGCCAGUUUGUCAUCCAAGGCCAGCUGGUAGUGGAUGAUGUCUCCUACGGGACCCUGGUAAUACGGCCUCAUAAUGGAGGGGUCCGAGGAGGAAUGCGACAGGCCCAGUGCGUGGCCGAACUCGUGUACCGCCACCGUGAACAAGUCGGUAGUGCUGUCGAUGUUCCCUGAAAGCAGAAAUGGUCGAAUCUCGACAACCGAUUUAUAAUUUGCACGAAAGUUGCUGUACCUCCAUAGCUCCAUCUUUCAUGGUCAUCAAAAUGCGUGUCACCGGACACCUCGUCUCUACCGGGGAAGAAGGCGUGGGCUAAGGUGCCCCCUUGCCCGUCAAAGGGAUACCCGUCAUCGUGCAGUAAGCUGUUGAAGGACACUCUGAUGUCACCGCCGCUCGGCGGGUUUCCGCCGCCGCCCGGCAGCUGGAGGAAUGUCAAAGGGGUGGCGUCGCUCCAAGCUUUGAAGGCGUGGGUCAGGAUGCCUUCCACCAAAUUUGAGGGCAGGCCCGGGGAGAGGGUGGGCGACGGGUAGCUGUGGAUGCUGCAAAGGAAGACACUCGCUUGAGAUUUGGGGCAACUUGGGCAGUGCCCCGACUGACUCAGCAGAUGGCGCUGUGGUCAUUCAAUUUGAAAACACACCUCCAUGUCAGAUCGCUCUUGUGCCACUUCAAACCUGACAGCGCAUAUCUUCUCCUCCUCCUUCUCUUCUUCAACAUGUCCUCGCUCCCGACAAUAUCGGGAAGGGAGCAUCGCGGUGUCGACAUGAGCUUCAGCGUUUCAUCAUCUACAGCACGCCGGUUUCCCGCACGCCGCCGAAUCUUUGCAUGACCCGUAUGGCCUUCUCGAUGCCCUCCUUGGACUGCAGCUUACUCGUCCGGGGGUCGGGCGGAGGGAGGUAGCCAUACCUGCUCAACCAAUCCUGCAAAACAAAGACAAAGAGGAACUGAAGUCAUGUGCGGUUUCCUCCUAACAUGAUUACCACAGCAAAAUAUCGCUAUAUGGAAAAACAACAAUAUGUUUGAUUUCACUUCCUUUCUCUCACGUGAUUGCAUGACGUUUAUGAAUUUGUUCAUUAAUAUUGCAUGCUUGUGAGUGAGUUGCGCAAUGUUACGCCUUCGGCUGUCACUAUAAGUGAAUCGAGGAGCGAAAUAAACACAUCGCUGUGAUGUGUUCAUAAAUUUGUGUCAAAACAGGAAA